rnacentral:lncRNA from 1 species
AUGGGUGACUGUUCCUUUAAGAGUAAAGAAUCACUCCUCUUAUAUCAUCAGCAGUCUCGUUUCACAUUCUGCCUCCACAUCAUACUCACAUGUGGAAACUUAAGAGCUGGCAAUAUAUUUAUUUUACAUCACAAGGAUGACCAGAUGCUGGUGCUGUCCUUUGCAACUUUGAGUCUCCUUGUGAAGAGGGAAAAAAGGAGUAUAAAUAAACAUGAUGAUGAUGAUGAUGAUGAUCAGGCAUGGAAUGCCAAGCUCCCAAAGGACCAGGUAGGACACAGAUUGGGCUGAAGGCAAAAUCAGAGGCUUUAUUCUUAAUGGCCAGAGAGAAUGUCAGCAGAGAUAGCCCUCCAAAGAACUGACAUACCUAAUUACAAAUACAGAGCAUUUUUUUUUCAUUCUGACAGCUAUUCAAGAAACCCAUGCAAGCUCCUGACUGGUUAAGAAAUGAUCCAGCUAAUAUUCGCAUCUGCAGUGGCUCAGGACUCCAUCUGUUGACAUCACUGAUUGGCUCUUUUUAGUGGCAAGAAAUUUAAUAAACUUUCAUUGGAGCAUUUGACGUGUCGGUCUGUUUAUCAAUUCACCUCUGAAAGGGGCGUGAUUACAAAGGAAUGUGGUGUGGCAUAGGGCUCAUGGUGAGCUUAAUGAUUUGGCUCCGAUAGGUUUUUCCCUUUCUUCCUUGUAAUCUCAUUUUCUUUGUUAGUUUUUUUUAGAUUGCAAGACUGUAGACAGAAAUUACCAUAUAUACUAAAGAAUAAGAUGACCUGAAUAUAAGCUGAGGCACCUAAUUUUACCACAAAAAAUGGGGAAAACUUAUUGACUUGAGUAUAAGAUGAGGGUGGAAAAUACAGCAACUACUGGAAAAUUUCAUCAAUAAUAAUAAUAAUAAUAAUAAUAAUAAUAAUAAUAAUAAUAAACAAAAUCCAGCAUAUAUAUCUCAUUUGUUGUGUCACACUCUGUCUUUGUGUCAAUAAUAAUAAUAAUAAGACUAUUGAGAGUAGUGUUGAUUUAUUCACUUGCCUAGUGUAAGGAUUUCCAGCA